rnacentral:misc_RNA from 1 species
AAAUGCGAUAAGUAAUGUGAAUUGCAGAAUUCAGUGAAUCAUCGAAUCUUUGAACGCACAUUGCGCCCCCUGGCAUUCCGGGGGGCAUGCCUGUCCGAGCGUCAUUGCUGCCCUUCAAGCCCGGCUUGUGUGUUGGGUCGUCGUCCCCUCCGGGGGACGGGCCCGAAAGGCAGCGGCGGCACCGCGUCCGGUCCUCGAGCGUAUGGGGCUUUGUCACCCGCUCGAUAAGGACCGGCCGGGCGCCAGCCGGCGUCUCCAACCUUUUUUUCUCAGGUUGACCUCGGAUCAGGUAGGGAUACCCGCUGAACUUAAGC